rnacentral:rRNA from 1 species
UACAGAGGCCUCGAGCGUUAGGCGGAAUCACUGGGCUUAAAGCGUGUGUAGGCGGACUUCUAAGUACCUUGUGAAAUCCCACGGCUCACCCCGUGGAACUGCUUGGUAUACUGGUUGUCUUGAGCCUUCUAGGGGCGAGUGGAACAAAUGGUGGAGCGGUGAAAUGCGUAGAUAUCAUUUGGAACGCCAAUGGUGAAAACAACUCGCUGGGGAAGUGCUGACGCUGAGACACGAAAGCCAGGGGAGCGAACGGG